UACGAAGUGGGCUAGCGUUGUUCGGAAUUACUGGGCGUAAAGCGUGCGCAGGCGGCUUCUCAAGUCAGGGGUGAAAGCCCAGAGCUCAACUCUGGAAUUGCCUUUGAGACUGAGUGGCUUGAGUACGAGAGAGGUGAGUGGAAUUCCCAGUGUAGAGGUGAAAUUCGUAGAUAUUGGGAAGAACACCGGUGGCGAAGGCGGCUCACUGGCUCGUAACUGACGCUCAUGCACGACAGCGUGGGGAUCAAACAGG
rnacentral:rRNA from 1 species